rnacentral:rRNA from 1 species
GAUGAACGCUAGCGGCAGGCUUAACACAUGCAAGUCGAGGGGUAUUGGUUUUCGGACCAAGAGACCGGCGCACGGGUGCGUAACGCGUAUGCAAUCUACCUUUUGCAGAGGGAUAGCCCCAGAGAAAUUUGGAUUAAUACCUCAUAGUAUAGUACUUUGGCAUCAAGGAACUAUUAAAGUCACAACGGCAAAAGAUGAGCAUGCGUCCCAUUAGCUAGUUGGUAAGGUAACGGCUUACCAAGGCUACGAUGGGUAGGGGUCCUGAGAGGGAGAUCCCCCCACACUGGUACUGAGACACGGACCAGACUCCUACGGGAGGCAGCAGUGAGGAAUAUUGGACAAUGGGCGCAAGCCUGAUCCAGCCAUGCCGCGUGCAGGAUGACGGUCCUAUGGAUUGUAAACUGCUUUUANACAGGAAGAAACACUCCGACGUGUCGGAGCUUGACGGUACUGUAAGAAUAAGGAUCGGCUAACUCCGUGCCAGCAGCCGCGGUAAAG